rnacentral:rRNA from 1 species
CAGUAGCCGCGGUAAUACAGAGGGUGCGAGCGUUAAUCGGAAUUACUGGGCGUAAAGCGCGCGUAGGUGGUUUGUUAAGUUGGAUGUGAAAUCCCCGGGCUCAACCUGGGAACUGCAUUUGUGACUGUAUAGCUAGAGUACGGCAGAGGGGGAUGGAAUUCCGCGUGUAGCAGUGAAAUGCGUAGAUAUGCGGAGGAACACCGAUGGCGAAGGCAAUCCCCUGGGCCUGUACUGACGCUCAUGCACGAAAGCGUGGGGAGCAAACAGGAUUAGAUACCCCCGUAGUCCCUGUCUCUUAUAC